rnacentral:RNase_P_RNA from 1 species
AGCGGAAUGGAUGAUCGCGCGCCAGGCUUAGCCUGUCUCGAGGAAAGUCCGGGCUUCACAGGGCAGGAUGCCGGAUAACGUCCGGCGGAGGCGACUCCCGGGAAAGUGCAGCAGAAAAUAUACAGCCGUGCAAACGGUAAUGGUGAAAAGGCAGUGUAAGAGACUACCGGUCAGGCGGUAACGCAUGACGCAUUGUAAACCCCAUCCGAAGCAAGAUCAAACAGAGGGCUAUGGGUCUGCCCGGCCCGCUCUCAGGUGGAUCGCUUGAGCCAUACGGCAACGUAUGGCCUAGACAGAUGAUCAUCCCGGCACAUUGUGCUAUGACAGAACCCGGCUUACAGUUCCGCUCUA